ACGCAACCACAAGCAAUCAGGCUACUUCCUACUGGGGCCUUUUGCUAUGUGGAGACGUGUGGAAGCUAUUAUCUGAAUAGCACGAUCGCUACACUGUAAAUAUAAUUUUAUGGUCAAAAUUAGGUGGUUUAUUUGUGAUCUUUGUAAAUGCUUCCAAAUACCCAGGUCCCAUACAAAACUGAAGCACAAAUGAAACUGACUUUCUCUGACAUGGCUAUUUCAAGAAUUUUAGCUUGCUCUGAUAUCAGCUUAUAAUGUUCUGUAACAGGAAAUGACCAGUAAUAGGGAAGCUGGUUGGAAUGAGAGGAACCAUUAAAAUGUAAGUGCUAGAACAAGUCUAUCAUCAUGUUCAUCUCAUGUAAAACAUGAUUAUCAGAUAAGGAGCUGAAUCAGACCUGUUCUAGCAGGGGAAGACCAUUUAUGAACUAAAAUUCAUAGAUCUGCUGGAUUGGGACAAUACAAGUAGAGUUCAAAUCCAGGUAAAUGCCCUCUAUCUGAGCUGUAAAGGUGCAUUGAUGGCAAAUAUUUGCCAUGAGAGCCUUGAAAAUCAUGUCCUAACCUGUGUGCUUGUGAAACUCUCUGUCUAUUAGCUUGCGACCUCUACUGGUCACCUGCUCACUUGUCCAAAUGUAAUUGGUGCCCAGACUGCCACAUAUUGAAUUUGACUUUUUUUUUUUUUUUUUUUUUUUUCCCAGAAUCUUAUUUUUAGGACCACCUAUGAGAAAUGCUGUUGUUGCACUCAUUAGGGCUCUUCACUCAGUAUCAAAGUGAGGCUGUACACAUGAAUAAAACAUAUUGUAGGCAGUUUGUCGAAAACUUUUUUUCAGACAUCAGUGUGUGAGGGCCCUGCAAUGAAUCCACACACUCUAAGAAAAAAAAAAAAGGUAUACACUGUACCUUUGCUUGUCCUAACUUAGAGGACAAGCAAAAAGGUCCAUCUAUAGUCCCUUCAGUGUGUGUUUUUAACCUACAAGGUCCAUCUAUAGUCCCUUAGAGGUCCAUCUAUAGUCCCUUCAGUGUGUGUUUUUAACCUGCAAGGGUGCAUGAAGUUCAUCUCUAUAUUAUUACACAAAAAUCUAAUUAAAGUGCAGCUGUGUACUUUAAAUCGUUUUCAUUAAAAGUACACGUUACCAUGUAAACAGAUGUAUAGUACAGGUACAUAGGAUGUAGUCUACAUGGUGUUAUUGCAGUGACAACCCUUUUUGGGCUGAGAGUAUAGCUACUCUAAAGACUUCUGCAGCUCAAUGAGUCUAUUUUAAUCAUUUCUCCAGGCUCACUGACACGUAUCCGUGAAGAACUUCACACUGUACCUCCAGUCUACCCGCUUAGCCCUCUGCCUGACUACACCAAAAGCGAAACUUUUUUCUUUUCCCCCUGUGUGUCUGAAGCGCGUCCGUGAUUGCGCGCUCACGAUUGGCAGCUCCACGUCGACAUUCUUCCAGCUGUGCGCGCGACGCGGAAAGGCACAGCGGCGGUGAGGCGCCUGAGCGAGCACUCAGUCCGGGCAAGAAAAAAAAAAAGAAAAAAAGAGGGGGAUCAACGAAUAAAGUAAAGACCUCUGCGGCACAGAUAUAGUCCUGGUUGCCAUGCUAGAAAAUGGUGCUUUUCCCUUUUUUUUGUGUGUGUGUUGCAUUUUAUGCAUUUGAACGUCCUCGUGCAUAAAGUGCUGAGUUGCAGCUGUGAUGAACUCCAGCAGCGGGAAGACGAGGAGUCCUAUAGGAGGAGAAGAUUAGCCAGCUCUUCUGUGGCUUUCCAAGUAAAGUUCUGUGGUACACUCUGGCUCUAAUUGUUUGCAGUCAGUGCAUUACAGAACUUUGUUUUGGGAGUUUAAUGCUCUGGCCUGGAGGAAACAAAUAUUACAUCUGGAAGGGAGGAAUAACAACCACACAAGCCCCCCUGAUGGCGCUUGGCUCUGUCUCUGUCUCUUCUUCAAUGACCACACACAAAUGAAAUUGUCUCACUUAGUUAUUAUUAUUUGUAACAUAUGCAUUGUAAUAUUAAACUAAAAUAAAGCACAAACUUUUUUUUUUAAACACAAA